UUCUGACGGGGGGGAGUAACGCGUGAGAAUCUGCCCUCAGGAGGGGGAUAACGGCCGGAAACGGCCGCUAAUACCCCAUAUGCCGAGAGGUGAAAUGAAUUUCGCCUGAGGAUGAGCCCGCGUCUGAUUAGCUAGUUGGUGGGGUAAUGGCCCACCAAGGCGACGAUCAGUAGCUGGUCUGAGAGGAUGAUCAGCCACACUGGGACUGAGACACGGCCCAGACUCCUACGGGAGGCAGCAGUGGGGAAUUUUCCGCAAUGGGCGAAAGCCUGACGGAGCAACGCCGCGUGAGGGAUGAAGGCCUCUGGGCUGUAAACCUCUUUUCUCAAGGAAGAAGACAUGACGGUACUUGAGGAAUAAGCCACGGCUAAUUCCGUGCCAGCAGCCGCGGUAAUACGGGAGUGGCAAGCGUUAUCCGGAAUUAUUGGGCGUAAAGCGUCCGCAGGCGGCCUUGUAAGUCUGUCGUUAAAGCGUGGAGCUUAACUCCAUUUCAGCGAUGGAAACUACAAGGCUUGAGUGUGGUAGGGGCAGAGGGAACUCCCGGUGUAGCGGUGAAAUGCGUAGAUAUCGGGAAGAACACCAGUGGCGAAGGCGCUCUGCUGGGCCAUAACUGACCGCCUUCCUUGGAGAAAGCAGA
rnacentral:rRNA from 1 species